AGGAUGGGAUCAUGAGUUCACAUGUCCGCAUGAUUAAAGGUAUUUUCCGGUAGACGAUGGGGAUGCGUUCCAUUAGAUAGUAGGCGGGGUAACGGCCCACCUAGUCAACGAUGGAUAGGGGUUCUGAGAGGAAGGUCCCCCACAUUGGAACUGAGACACGGUCCAAACUCCUACGGGAGGCAGCAGUGAGGAAUAUUGGUCAAUGGGCGAUGGCCUGAACCAGCCAAGUAGCGUGAAGGAUGACUGCCCUAUGGGUUGUAAACUUCUUUUAUAAAGGAAUAAAGUCGGGUAUGCAUACCCGUUUGCAUGUACUUUAUGAAUAAGGAUCGGCUAACUCCGUGCCAGCAGCCGCGGUAAUACGGAGGAUCCGAGCGUUAUCCGGAUUUAUUGGGUUUAAAGGGAGCGUAGAUGGAUGUUUAAGUCAGUUGUGAAAGUUUGCGGCUCAACCGUAAAAUUGCAGUUGA
rnacentral:rRNA from 1 species